CGUAGGUGGCAAGCGUUGUCCGGAGUUACUGGGUGUAAAGGGCGUGUAGGCGGGAAACAAGUCAGAUGUGAAAUUCCAUGGCUCAACUGUGGCGCUGCAUCUGAAACUAUUUUCUUGAGUGAUGGAGAGGAAAGUGGAAUUCCUAGUGUAGCAGUGAAAUGCGUAGAUAUUAGGAGGAACACCAGUGGCGAAGGCGACUUUCUGGACAUUAACUGACGCUGAGGCGCGAAAGCGUGGGAGCGAACAGGAUU
rnacentral:rRNA from 1 species